UAGGGAAUCUUCGGCAAUGGGGGCAACCCUGACCGAGCAACGCCGCGUGAGUGAAGAAGGUUUUCGGAUCGUAAAGCUCUGUUGUAAGUCAAGAACGGGUGUGAGAGUGGAAAGUUCACACUGUGACGGUAGCUUACCAGAAAGGGACGGCUAACUACGUGCCAGCAGCCGCGGUAAUACGUAGGUCCCGAGCGUUGUCCGGAUUUAUUGGGCGUAAAGCGAGCGCAGGCGGUUUGAUAAGUCUGAAGUUAAAGGCUGUGGCUCACCAUAG
rnacentral:rRNA from 1 species